AUCUCUGAAUGUAAAAAUAACAACAGGAGAUCCAAAUAAACACACGAGGUAUGAUAAAAAUAGAAAAUCUUCAGAUAAAAAUGGGUUUAUUAAAACUAAUGAAGUAAAGCACAUUGAAUGUUUUUACUGCCAUAAUCAUGGAUAUAGGGCACAUCAAUGCUUGAAGAAGAAAAGGGAUAAUCAUAAAACUGAACUAGCACAGGUUACUGGAAUGUCCAAAACUGAACAAUGCUUACGUGUUUCCAAUAUUCAGUAUGAAGAUAAUCAGGAUAGUAAUAUCACUGUUUAUUAUCAUGUUUCAUUGAAUAUAAACAGGGAACCACUAUUGGAAUGGUGCAUUGGCAGUGAUGCUACAUCACAUAUAUGCUGUGACAUAAGCCGUUUUGAAUCCAUACUGCCAAUCAAAAAUCAAAACGUGAAAUCAACGAAUGACAAGCCAGCUAAAAUCAGCCAAUGGCAAGCCAGCUGAAAUCAAAGGCACUGCAGUAUUAUUUAACUGUAUAAAAAACAAGCUGUGGAAGUUUUGAUUGGAAACCACAUUGCAGGUACCAGUAUUCCAAGCAAAUUUGAUUUCGGUAUCAAAAGUUGCAGUGACUGGAAAAAGGUUCGUAUUUACAUACGAAAUGGCUACAAUUUUUGAAAAGAGUGAUGAAAAAUAAAUUCAAGCAAAUAUUAUGACUCUCCUGAAAUUGAUUUAAACAUCCAUCAGUCUCUGAUAAGAUCAUUAAUGUAUUUCCGCCAUAGCUACCAGGUCCGAUGUAAUGUAUGCCAUGAGCACAUUAAGUUGUUUUAAUAACAACCCAAAGAAGAGUCAUUGGUUAUCUGCCAAAUUGGUCUUAUGUUAUUGUUAAUGGGAAUGUCUAACAUUGGUCCAUGUUUCAGAAAUAUUAGUGGAGAUCUAACAGGAUAUGUCAACUCCGACUGGAGAGGUGAUAUUGACGAUAGGAAAUCCAGAACUGGCUUUCUAUUCAAACUAUCGAAUGGUGUUAUAUCUUGGGAAUCCAGAAAGCAAGAAAGUGUGGCUACUUCCAACACUGAAGCCAAAUACAUGGCACUAACAGAAUUCACUAGGUGAUUUCUAAGCAGGUUUGAUGUGAUGGCUGAAGAAAGAGCAACCAAAAUAUAUUGCAAAUUAAAUAGCAACCAGAGUGCAGCUAAAUUGGUAAAAAAUCCAGUGUUCUACGAUCAAAGGAAGCAUAUAGACAUCCGCUAUCAUUAUGUUCGUGAGAUUUUUCAAAAGAGAAUCAUUGGAAUUUUCUAUAUGCCCACAAAUGAGAUGCCAGCUGAUUUACUAACAAAAAGCUUGGGCAAGCCAAGUCACAAUGCUCACCUAGAAACCAUUGGUUUGAUGAGCAUUCGAAUUCCGUUGAGAGGAGAUGUUGAAAAUAACAACGUGAGUUCGUGCUCAUCCUCCACAUGCGGAUGCGCUAGUUCCAAAAAGCAGUAACUAGAAGAUUGUUCUAGAUGCUAUCGAUAGACUCGAUCGAUAUUUUUAGAUGCUCCUUUGUUUUUUUUCCUAGUCUACGUAAGCGCGUACAAUAAAGGUUUUUUUCGGCUCAGAACGGUGUGAUAGAUUUAUCCGUGCAAUAUUCUAAUAACUAUUGUGAUCCUAUCUCUGUAUGUAAAAAUAACAACAGGAAGAUCGAAAUAAACACACGAGGUAUGAUAAAAAUAGAAAAGGUUUUUUCGGCUCAGAACGGUGUGAUAGAUUUAUCCGUGCAAUAUUCUAAUAACUAUCGUGAUCCUAUCUCUGAAUGUAAAAAUAACAACAGGAAGAUCCAAAUAAACACACGAGGUAUGAUAAAAAUAGAAAAUCUUCAGAUAAAAAUGGGUUUAUUAAAACUAAUCAAGUAAAACACAUUGAAUGUUUUUACUGCCACAAUCAUGGAUAUAUAGGCCACAUCAAAGCUUGAAGAAGAAAAGGGAUAAUCAUAAAGCUGAACUAGCAAAGGUUCCUGGAAUAUCCAAAACUGAACAAUGCUUACGUGUUUCCAAUAUUCAGUAUGAAGAUAAUCAGGAUAGUAUUAUCACUGUUUAUUAUCAUGUUUCAUUGAAUAUAAACAGGGACCUACUAAUGGAAUGGUGCAUUGGCAGUGAUGCUACAUCACAUAUAUGCUGUGACAUAAGCCGUUUUGAAUCCAUACAGCCAAUCAAAAAUCAAAACGUGAAAUCAACGAAUGACAAGCCAGCUAAAAUCAGCCAAUGGCAAGCCAGCUGAAAUCAAAGGUACUGCAGUAUUAUUUAAGUGUAUAAAAAACAAGCUGUGGAAGUUUUGAUUGGAAAACACAUUGCAUGUACCAGUAUUAAAAGCAAAUUUGAUUUCGGUAUCAAAAGUUGCAGUGAGUGGAAAAAGGUUCGUAUUUACAAACCAAAUGGCUACAAUAUUUGAAAAGAGCGAUGAAAAAUAUAUUCAAGCAAAUAUUACAACUCACCUGAAAUUGAUUUGAACAUCCAUCAGUCUCUGAUAGGAUCAUUAAUGUAUUUCUGCCAUUAAUUUGUUUUAAUAACAACCCAAAGAAGAUUCAUUGGUUAUCUGUCAAAUUGGUCUUAUGUUAUUGUUAAUGGGAAUGUCUAACAUUGGUCCAUGAUUCAGAAAUAUUAGUGAAGAUCUAACAGGAUAUGUCAACUCCGACUGGAGAGGUGAUAUUGACGAUAGGAAAUCCAGAACUGGCUUUGUAUUCAAACUAUCGAAUGGUGUUAUAUCUUGGGCAUCCAGAAAGCAAGAAAGUGUGGCUACUUCCAACACUGAAGCCAAAUACAUGGCACUAACAGAAUCCACUAGGUGAUUUCUAAGCAGGUUUGAUGUGAUCGCUGAAGAAAGAGCAACCAAAAUAUAUUGCAAAUUAAAUAGCAACCAGAGUGCAGCUAAAUUGGUAAAAAAUCCAGUGUUCCACGAUCAAAGGAAGCAUAUAGACAUCCGCUAUCAUUAUGUUCGUGAGAUUUUUCAAAAGGGAAUCAUUGGAAUUUUCUAUAUGCCCACAAAUGAGAUGCCAGCUGAUUUACUAACAAAAAGCUUGGGCAAGCCAAGUCACAAUGCUCACCUAGAAACCAUUGGUUUGACGAGCAUUCGAAUUCCGUUGAGAGGAGAUGUUGAAAAUAACAACGUGAAAUCGUGCUCAUCCUACACAUGUGGAUGCGCUAUUUCCAAAAAGCAGUAACUAGAAGAUUGUUCUAGAUGCUAUCGAUAGACUCGAUCGAUAUUUUUAGAUGCUCCUUUGUUUUUUUUCCUAGUCUACGUAAGCGCGUACAAUAAAGGUUUUUUUCGGCUCAGAACGGUGUGAUGGAUUUAUCCGUGCAAUAUUCUAAUAACUAUUGUGAUCCUAUCUCUGAAUGUAAAAAUAACAACAGGAAGAUCCAAAUAAACACACGAGGUAUGACAAAAAUAGAAAAUCUUCAGAUAAAAAUGGGUUUAUUAAAACUAAUGAAGUAAAACACAUUGAAUGUUUUUAUUGCCACAAUCAUGGAUAUAGGGCACAUCAAUGCUUGAAGAAGAAAAGGGAUAAUCAUAAAGCUGAACUAGCACAGGUUACUGGAAUGUCCAAAACUGAACAAUGAUUACGUGUUUCCAAUAUUCAGUAUGAAGAUAAUCAGGAUAGUAUUAUCACUGUUUAUUAUCAUGUUUCAUUGAAUAUAAACAGGGAACCACUAUUGGAAUGGUGCAUUGGCAGUGAUGCUACAUCACAUAUAUGCUGUGACAUAAGCCGUUUUGAAUCCAUACUGCCAAUCAAAAAUCAAAACGUGAAAUCAGCGAAUGGCAAGCCAGCUAAAAUCAGCCAAUGGCAAGCCAGCUGAAAUCAAUGGCAAUGCAGUAUUAUUUAACUGUAUAAAAAACAAGCUGUGGAAGUUUUGAUUGGAAACCACAUUGCAGGUACCAGUAUUACAAGCAAAUUUGAUUUCGGUAUCAAAAGUUGCAGUGACUGGAAAAAGGUUCGUAUUUACAAACGAAAUGGCUACAAUUUUUGAAAAGAGUGAUGAAAAAUAAAUUCAAGCAAAUAUUAUGACUCUCCUGAAAUUGAUUUGAACAUCCAUCAGUCUCUGAUAGGAUCAUUAAUGUAUUUCUGCCAUUAAGUUGUUUUAAUAACAACCCAAAGAAGAUUCAUUGGUUAUCUGCCAAAUUGGUCUUAUGUUAUUGUUAAUGGGAAUGUCUAACAUUGGUCCAUGAUUCAGAAAUAUUAGUGAAGAUCUAACAGGAUAUGUCAACUCCGACUGGAGAGGUGAUAUUGACGAUAGGAAAUCCAGAACUGGCUUUGUAUUCAAACUAUCGAAUGGUGUUAUAUCUUGGGAAUCCAGAAAGCAAGAAAGUGUGGCUACUUCCAACACUGAAGCCAAAUACAUGGCACUAACAGAAUCCACUAGGUGAUUUCUAAGCAGGUUUGAUGUGAUGGCUGAAGAAAGAGCAACCAAAAUAUAUUGCAAAUUAAAUAGCAACCAGAGUGCAGCUAAAUUGGUAAAAAAUCCAGUGUUCUACGAUCAAAGGAAGCAUAUAGACAUCCGCUAUCAUUAUGUUCGUGAGAUUUUUCAAAAGAGAAUCAUUGGAAUUUUCUAUAUGCCCACAAAUGAGAUGCCAGCUGAUUUACUAACAAAAAGCUUGGGCAAGCCAAGUCACAAUGCUCACCUAGAAACCAUUGGUUUGAUGAGCAUUCGAAUUCCGUUGAGAGGAGAUGUUGAAAAUAACAACGUGAAAUCGUGCUCAUCCUACACAUGUGGAUGCGCUAUUUCCAAAAAGCAGUAACUAGAAGAUUGUUCUAGAUGCUAUCGAUAGACUCGAUCGAUAUUUUUAGAUGCUCCUUUGUUUUUUUUCCUAGUCUACGUAAGCGCGUACAAUAAAGGUUUUUUUCGGCUCAGAACGGUGUGAUGGAUUUAUCCGUGCAAUAUUCUAAUAACUAUUGUGAUCCUAUCUCUGAAUGUAAAAAUAACAACAGGAAGAUCCAAAUAAACACACGAGGUAUGAUAAAAAUAGAAAAGGUUUUUUUCGGCUCAGAACGGUGUGAUAGAUUUAUCCGUGCAAUAUUCUAAUAACUAUCGUGAUCCUAUCUCUGAAUGUAAAAAUAACAACAGGAAGAUCCAAAUAAACACACGAGGUAUGAUAAAAAUAGAAAAUCUUCAGAUAAAAAUUGGUUUAUUAAAACUAAUGAAGUAAAACACAUUGAAUGUUUUUACUGCCACAAUCAUGGAUAUAGGGCACAUCAAAGCUUGAAGAAGAAAAGGGAUAAUCAUAAAGCUGAACUAGCACAGGUUACUGGAAGAUCCAAAACUGAACAAUGCUUACAUGUUUCCAAUAUUCAGUAUGAAGAUAAUCAGGAUAGUAUUAUCACUGUUUAUUAUCAUGAUUCAUUGAAUAUAAACAGGGACCUACUAAUGGAAUGGUGCAUUGGCAAUGAUGCUACAUCACAUAUAUGCUGUGACAUAAGCCGUUUUGAAUCCAUACAGCCAAUCAAAAAUCGAAACGUGAAAUCAACGAAUGACAAGCCAGCUAAAAUCAGCCAAUGGCAAGCCAGCUGAAAUCAAAGGUACUGCAGUAUUAUUUAAGUGUAUAAAAAACAAGCUGUGGAAGUUUUGAUUGGAAAACACAUUGCAUGUACCAGUAUUAAAAGCAAAUUUGAUUUCGGUAUCAAAAGUUGCAGUGAGUGGAAAAAGAAAUAUUAGUGAAGAUCUAACAGGAUAUGUCAACUCCGACUGGAGAGGUGAUAUUGACGAUAGGAAAUCCAGAACUGGCUUUGUAUUCAAACUAUCGAUUGGUGUUAUAUCUUGGGAAUCCAGAAAGCAAGAAAGUGUGGCUACUUCCAACACUGAAGCCAAAUACAUGGCACUAACAGAAUCCACUAGAUGAUUUCUAAGCAGGUUUGAUGUGAUGGCUGAAGAAAGAGCAACCAAAAUAUAUUGCAACAACCAGAGUGCAGCUAAAUUGGUAAAAAAUCCAGCGUUCCACGGUUAAAGGAAGCAUAUAGACAUCUGCUAUCAUUAUGUUUGUGAGAUUUUCCAAAAGGAAUCAUUGGAAUUUUCUAUAUGCCUACAAAUGAGAUGCCAGCUGAUUUACUAACAAUAAGCUUGGGCAAGCCAAGUCACAAUGCUCACCUAGAAACCAUUGGUUUGACGAGCAUUCGAAUUCCGUUGAGAGGAGAUGUUGAAAAUAACAACGUGAGUUCGUGCUCAUCCUCCACAUGCGGAUGCACUAGUUCCAAAAAGCAGUAACUAGAAGAUUGUUCUAGAUGCUAUCGAUAGACUCUAUCGAUAUUUUUAGAUGCUCCUUUGUUUUUUUUCCUAGUCUACGUAAGCGCGUACAAUAAAGGUUUUUUUCGGCUCAGAACGGUGUGAUAGAUUUAUCCGUGCAAUAUUCUAAUAACUAUUGUGAUCCUAUCUCUGAAUGUAAAAAUAACAACAGGAAGAUCCAAAUAAACACACGAGGUAUGAUAAAAAUAGAAAAUCUUCAGAUAAAAAUGGGUUUAUUAAAACUAAUCAAGUAAAACACAUUGAAUGUUUUUACUGCCACAAUCAUGGAUAUAUAGGGCACAUCAAAGCUUGAAGAAGAAAAGGGAUAAUCAUAAAGCUGAACUAGCACAGGUUCCUGGAAUAUCCAAAACUGAACAAUGCUUAUGUGCUUCCAAUAUUCAGUAUGAAGAUAAUCAGGAUAGUAUUAUCACUGUUUAUUAUCAUGUUUCAUUGAAUAUAAACAGGGAACCACUGGAAUGGUGCAUUGGCAGUGAUGCUACAUCACAUAUAUGCUAUGACGUAAGCCGUUUUGAAUCCAUACAGCCAAUCAAAAAUCAAAACGUGAAAUCAGCGAAUGGCAAGCCAGCUAAAAUCAGCGAAUGGCAAGCCAGCUGAAAUCAAAGGUACUGCAGUAUUAUUUAAGUGUAUAAAAAACAAGCUGUGGAAGUUUUGAUUGGAAACCACAUUGCAUGUACCAGUAUUAAAAGCAAAUUUGAUUUCGGUAUCAAAAGUUGCAGUGUCUGGAAAAAGGAUCGUAUUUACAAACGAAAUGGCUACAAUUUUUGAAAAGAGUGAUGAAAAAUAAAUUCAAGCAAAUAUUAUGAAUCUCCUGAAAUUGAUUUAAACAUCCAUCAGUCUCUGAUAAGAUGAUUAAUGUAUUUCCGCCAUAGCUACCAGGUCCGAUGUAAUGUAUGCCAUGAGCACAUUAAGUUGUUUUAAUAACAACCCAAAGAAGAGUCAUUGGUUAUCUGCCAAAUUGGUCUUAUGUUAUUGUUAAUGGGAAUGUCUAACAUUGGUCCAUGUUUCAGAAAUAUUAGUGGAGAUCUAACAGGAUAUGUCAACUCCGACUGGAGAGGUGAUAUUGACGAUAGGAAAUCCAGAACUGGCUUUGUAUUCAAACUAUCGAAUGGUGUUAUAUCUUGGGAAUCCAGAAAGCAAGAAAGUGUGGCUACUUCCAACACUGAAGCCAAAUACAUGGCACUAACAGAAUCCACUAGAUGAUUUCUAAGCAGGUUUGAUGUGAUGGCUGAAGAAAGAGCAACCAAAAUAUAUUGCAACAACCAGAGUGCAGCUAAAUUGGUAAAAAAUCCAGUGUUCCACGGUUAAAGGAAGCAUAUAGACAUCUGCUAUCAUUAUGUUUGUGAGAUUUUCCAAAAGGGAAUCAUUGGAAUUUUCUAUAUGCCUACAAAUGAGAUGCCAGCUGAUUUACUAACAAAAAGCUUGGGCAAGCCAAGUCACAAUGCUCACCUAGAAACCAUUGGUUUGACGAGCAUUCGAAUUCCGUUGAGAGGAGAUGUUGAAAAUAACAACGUGAGUUCGUGCUCAUCCUCCACAUGCGGAUGCACUAGUUCCAAAAAGCAGUAACUAGAAGAUUGUUCUAGAUGUUAUCGAUAGACUCGAUCGAUAUUUUUAGAUGCUCCUUUGUUUUUUUUCCUAGUCUACGUAAGCGCGUACAAUAAGGAUUUUUUUCGGCUCAGAACGGUGUGAUAGAUUUAUCUAACAAUGGUGAUCUAUGGUGACUAUGGUGACUAUAUAACUAUGCUGAUCCUACCUCUGAAUGUAAAAAUAACAACAAGAUAAAUUUAUAUAAAUUAUAAACAUAAAAAUUACUUUUUACCUUUAAUAUCUGAUAUAAUAUUUUUGCAGUAAAUCGACGUUGUACGAAAAUAAUACAGCAAAAUACCCGAUCAUUAAAUUUGUUAUUAUAAAAGUCCUUUAGUACUGUAGCAGCACAUGAGUCAGAGGACAAUUCAAAUCAUGUUGUCUUGCCUCAAAGUAUCAAAAUCGUUAGGAUACAAGUAAUGUAAGAGCAAAUAGACUCCGGGCAAAACAAUAUCGUCGCUACAUGCAACCGUCGAAUGAAGACAAAUUCAAAUUUUCCAAUUUCCUUCCGACCAGUUUAAAUAAACGGAUGCGAUCACGAGCAAGAGAGUUCAUACCGAGUAUCAAACAGUAUCUACAGUAUCUCCGAAUAUCACUAGUAUCUACCGAGUUACGCGACGAACGUUAACCAGUAUUUAUCCGCGAUUUUAUUUUAUGAUUUAUACUUUGUACUAACGACUCACGUAUAUAGGCUGUACAUUAAUCUAUUAUUUUAAAUAUAAUCGACGGUUCCAACAA